AUCUAGAUACAUCAUGUAAGUGGAAUCAUAUAAUAUUCGUCCCUUUGUGUCUGGCUUAUUUCACUUAGCAUAAGGUCCUCAAGGUUCAUCCACAUUGUAGCAUGUGCCAGAAUUUUUCUCCUUUUUAAGGCUGAACAGUGUUCCAUUGUAUUCCAUUGAUUCUUGACAUGUAUGUAUGCAUGACAUUUUGUUUAUCUGCUUCUCCAAGGAUGGACUCUUGGGUUGUUUCUACCUCUUGGCUAUUGUGAAUAAUGUUUCUGUGAACAUGGCAAGUAUCUGUGCCAGGUCCUUCUUUUUUGUUUGCAACGAAUUCACAUUAAAAAAAAAUACCCUGCAAACAUUAAGCAAUUAGGAGUGAGGAUGUGGUAAAAUUGGAACCCUCAUGCACUGCUGGGAGAAUGUAAAAUGGUCCAUAGCAGCUGCUAUAGAAAACAGUACAGAGGUUCCUCAAAAAAUUUAACAGAGUUACCAUAAAAUCCUGCAAUUCCACUUCUGAGUAUAUACUCAAAAGAAUUGAAAGCAGGGCCUCACACAGAUAUUUGCACACUCCUGUUCAAGCAACAUUAUUCACAAUAGCCAAGAGGCAGAAGCAACCUAAAUCUAAAAUCAUUUCUUGUUGAUGGGUGUUAAUGAGCAUGCACUCUGACAGAGCCUUGUAGACAUCUGUCUCUGUGUACAGGACAGUUCCACGUUACGGACAGUGUUUGCCUAACCCAAACUGAGGUUCGUGUCUAAGUACGUUCUGUAAUGUUUACAUAACAACAAAAUCACCUAAGGAUGCAUUUCUUUUUUAAAAACACUUUAUUUUAAGUUCAGGGGUACAGGUUUGUUACAUAGGUAAACUUGUGUUAUGGGGGUUUGUUGUACAGAUUAUUUCACACCCAGGUAGUAAGCCUAGCGCUCAUUAGUUGUUUUUCCUGAUUCUCUCCCUCCUCCCACCCUCCACCCUCCACCCUCCGAAAGGCCCCAGUGUGUGUUUUUCCCCUCUAUGUGUUCAUGUGUUCUCAUCAUUUAGCUCCCACUGAUAAGUGAGAACAUGUGGUAUUUGGUUUUCCGUUUCUGUGUUAGUUUGCUAAGGAUAAUGGCCUCCCGCUACAUCCAUGUCUCUGCAAAAGACAUGAUCUUGUUCUUUUUUAUGUCUGCUUAGUAUCUAAGGAUGCAUUUAUUAGAAGGUAUCCCUGUCAUUAAAAAACAUGUGACUGUAAUAUGGACUAUCAAUCUGUUGUUUACCUUUUUAUACAUAUCAGACCAAACUGGAAUGCAGGACAAGCUCCCAAGCAGAUAGAGGAGAUCAGUGCUUGUAAUUCUCUGUCCCUUGUUCUGCUUCAUAGAACAUCACUAUUCCCAAGAAAUAGCACUUUCUGUGAUAAAGGAGAGACAGCAUUUAAGAAACUAUUUGAAGGAACACAUAUACACAACUCCAUCUCGGGAAGGCUGUAGGAAAAAGAUCUGCUUUUGAUUUGAUGGGCUGUGCUUACAGAAAAGAGUUUUAGAUCUUUAACUCAUUCUUCCUUUAUGAGGUAGCCAUGUAUGAAGUUGGGCCUCUUGGAGAUACACUGGACAGUGUCAUUGAUGCCUGUGAUUACAGCACACUGAAGGGAUUAAAUCAUAGAAAAGAUGCCCAAUUCUGGAAAAAUGAGAUUGCAAAUACUAUUGUCUUUUCUUAUUGGGGUGCUAUUGUAUAUGGUUUGUCAUAAACAGUACCCAGGGGAUUCUGCAUGGCAGAGGAGCCUCUUCACUGUUGAAAGAAAGGAGGGGGGAAGAGGGGAAGGAAGGAAGGAAAGAAGGAAGGAAGGAAGGAAGGACCAACCUAAUAUAAGUGAGGCAUGUGUAAAGUGCUUUAUGUGUAUUACUUUAUUCAGUCCUUACGACAACCUUGUAAGGUAGGUUCUCAUCUCUAUUUUACAGAAGAGAAAACUAAGGCUCAGAGAGUUAACUAACUUGUCCAAGUCAUACAGCUAAUAAGUAGUUUGUGUGGGAUUCAAAACUAGGCUAAGCCUCUUUGCACAGAACUUUCUUUGCUGAGCUGGUUGUUGGGUCCUCAGUGGAUAUAAACAAGACCAAGGAGAUGGUGCAAUUAUCUAAAGAUACUCAGGAUAACCUCUGCUAUUGGA
rnacentral:lncRNA from 10 species